GGGGGUGACUGGUUUCGACUUCGAAUGUGGAGACAGGGGAAGCGAGCCGAGGAAGCCGACGUCGUCUCGAGAAUCGGUCGUCGGAAAAUUAUAAGCGCCGAUAACAAUCGCGCUGACUUCGCUCUCGCCGCCUGAGGCGAGUAGUGAGUCUGUCGGACCGGGAGCACCUCCGUCCCGGAUUUCCGGCAUCAGCUAGGAGGUUGGCCAACAGGUCCCGGUCGCGGGGACCUUGCGGCGAGACUAAUCAGCGACUGGGCCCGUCACCGAAACUCGCUCACAUGAUUUCGGGGGCCAAGUAGAGGCACAGUGAGCUGCGCUCGGAGAAGCCCUGACGAAGCGACGAAGGACCCGGGUUCGAUUCCCGGCACCUCCACUG
rnacentral:tmRNA from 1 species